GCCUAUUGCCAUACCACCCCGAGAAUGCCUGAUCUCAUCUGAUCUGAGAGGCUAAGCAGCGUCAGGCCCAGUUCAUACUUGGAUGGGAGACCGCCUGGGCAUGCCGGGUGCUGUGUGCU
rnacentral:rRNA from 1 species